CCACCCCAGGGCCCUUCUCGGGGGAGAUAUCCAGGAGCUGAAAGAGAUUCCUCAGGAGGAAGUGGAAACCUCUGAAAGGAGAGGAAACCGACUCUUUUGCAAGAAAACUGAGCGCCGGCUGGAAGGCCUAAGGAAAGCAGCCGAUGGCUCCCAAGACAACUCUGUCCGGCCAGUACUCCAGGGCAACUUCAACCCCACUAGGACCCAGGCCAAAACCAUAUAUAUAUAUAUAUAUAUAUAAAUUAACGCAAAACAGAGCCACUUUGGUGCCUACCCCUCCACAAGUAGGUAGGCACAUCCAGGUAGCUCUGUCAGAAGAUGGGACCUGGCGCCUUGCAGGGGUAGCCCUAUGGAGAUCCAGAAGCCCCGUUUCGAGCUACGAAGUCUCUCUUCUACUGCAGUCUUCUCUCCAACGUGGAGAUCUAGCAACUUCCCUCCCCCUGGGAUUCCCUGUGAAUCCACUCUAGUUGGGAUAUAGCCUCUCUACAGCUCAGUGACGUAGCGCGCCAAAACCAAGUACCCACCC
rnacentral:lncRNA from 10 species